rnacentral:lncRNA from 1 species
UGGAGAGAUAAUGCAUGAUUUGGGGGUAAAUGGGGGAUAUCCCAAGAGAAAAUGCAUGAUUUGAGGGUUAAAUUGGGGAUUUCCAAGAGAAAAUGCAUGGCAUUCUGGUGAAUUGGUGGAUUUUCGAAGAGAAGAGAAGAUGUGUGAUUUUGGUUGACAUGUGAGCUUUUUGUCGAGGAAAUGCGUGAUUUUCAGGUGAAAUGGGGGAUUCUUGU